CCCCUAGAUGUUCUGGGCCGCACGCGCGCUACACUGAACAGUUCAACAAGUCUUAACCUUGGCCGAUAGGUCUGGGUAAUCUUUGAACGCUGUUCGUGAUUGGGAUAGACCUUUGCAAUUAUGGGUCUUCAACGAGGAAUUCCUAGUAAACGCAAGUCAUCAGCUUGCAUUGAUUACGUCCCUGCCCUUUGUACACACCGCCCGUCGCACCUACCGAUUGGAUGGUCCGGUGAAGCCUCGGGAUUGUGGUUCUUGCCGCUUUAUUGUGGCGUGACCGCGAGAACUUGUCUAAACCUUAUCAUCUAGAGGAAGGUGAANUCGUAACA
rnacentral:rRNA from 1 species